rnacentral:pre_miRNA from 1 species
AAAAAGACAAACAUUGGGUUUCUAUCCGUCUUAUAUGAAAGUUUUUUAUAAUUAGUAUUUUUAUUAUUGUUAGAUGAUAAAACAUGAUUAAUACUUUAUACGUGACUUGUCUUUUUAAUUUUUUUCAUAUUUUUUUUCAAAUAAAACGGACGGUCAAACGUUGGACACGGAAACCCAGGGUUUGUCUUUUU